rnacentral:rRNA from 1 species
GACGAACGCUGGCGGCGUGCUUAACACAUGCAAGUCGAGCGGUAAGGCCCUUUCGGGGGUACGACGAGCGGCGAACGGGUGAGUAACACGUGGGUGACCUGCCCUCAGCUCUGGGAUAAGCCUGGGAAACCGGGUCUAAUACUGGAUAUGACUCCAUGACGCAUGUUGUGGGGUGGAAAGCCUUGUGCGGCUGAGGAUGGGCCCGCGGCCUAUCAGCUUGUUGGUGGGGUGAGGCCUACCAAGGCGACGACGGGUAGCCGGCCUGAGAGGGCGACCGGCCACACUGGGACUGAGACACGGCCCCGA